CUCGGGUGCCUCAAUAGUAUUUGUAAUACGAAACAAGUACACAAAUUGGUGUGUAAAUCCGCAAGCAGUGAACAGUGUGUGGCGUUUACCUACUGACGCGUUGAUAUAAUCUUCAGAUUUGCACAGAAAACAUAUUGUCAAGAUGAUUUCAUUAGAGAGCUGUUUGGUAUUUAUUCUGUCAACCAUCAUUCCAGCAAUAUACUGCGACGAAGAUAAUAAGAUUAAAUCAAACUACAAACAUCCAGAUGUAGCAGGAGAAAGACAACAGACUGUCAUUAUAGGAGUUGUAGUCGGCCUGUGUCUAGCCUGUGUUUUCCUGGUUAUCCUCUGCAUUUCAUACAACUACUACAAACACAAGCCAUACAGAAAUACCCCACGUGAUGUCGAAGAACCAUUAACAGCCAUGAAGUAAACAGGAAAUGACACUUAACUAUGGAAUCAUGGGUUAUUCCACAUUCCAUCCGUUGGAAUAAUUUUUUAGUUGAAUGAGAUGGAAUUUCCCAUGAUUCAAUAGUUUUUUUGUGAAAAGAAAGAAGACACAUUUUGAAACAGCUGAAAACUUGAAUUAACCAACAUUUGAAUCUCAAGACACAACGAAAAAAAGGAGAUUUGUACCUGAAUUUUUUACAAGAAUUGGAAUAAUUAUACAGUAUGGAUUUAUUAUUGUCUAACUUUUCAAAGGCAUUUUAAAAAAAUUUAUGAAAUAAAGGACGAAAACGUAUUAAUCAAAUCAGCUAUUGUAAAUUAUAUAUAUAACAUUGUAAAUGUUCACAAUGUUAAAUUUUUUAAUGAUCUUCAUUGAGGGUGGUAAGAAAAUAAUAUUCCUGAUUCAUUGCAUGCCCCUAUUAGAAAAUUUCAUGAAUAUGGAAAGCAUUUAAACAAUUUGUAUGAAUUAUUUUUCCAGUGUCAAAUCUUUACAAUUACUGGUAACAGAAGUUGAUAGACAAAGUUUGCAAAUGAAUCAGAUUGUAGUAUAAUAAUAGAAAUGCUUAUUUUUGCUCAUUGUGCAAUUUUGUAAUUUUAUAUAUAGUUAUAUACCAUAGAACUCGGGUUUUUGUACAUUAAAAUCAUAUAUUCAGUUUGACAUAUCAAGUUUAAUGCAAGUCUUAUAUGGUUUAAUCAUUUUUUUUUUGUACAAUGUAAUCGAGAUUGCAUAAUUUAUUUUUAAAGUUUGAAUCUCCAGAACGGAUACUUACAGGCAAUUUUAGUUUAAAUUUAGAGAUUGUAGUUAUUAGAAAAUAGGAUAUUGAUACAAUAUAUUCCAUUAACUUAAUCAUUCCUUUUCUAUAAAAAAAAUGUAGGUUGUCCAAUUUUCUCUUCCAGUGUAACCAUGGUUACUUAAUUUUUCAUUUAUGCUAUACAUUUGUAUGCAUUUUAUCAUGGAAAUACACUCAUUGUUUUUUCUUCUUCAGUAUUUUAACUUUUGUUUGUCUCCGAAUUUUUAUAACUGAAUGAUUCUUAAUUCGAGAAAUAUAUUACAUGUUUAUAAAAGAGGAAAAACAAAUAAACUGUGAAAUGAAAAUGGAUUAAGUUUGUUUUGAAAUUUUUAGACUUCACAUUAUAUAUAUAUAUAUAUUUGAUUAGGGAUUGAAUUCUUCCAAAUACAUAUUUUAUUUUAAAUUUUUAAAAAAUAAUUAGUAUUUUUCUUAGUUCUUUAGAUUUAUAUAUAUUCUUAUGUAGAGAUUGUAAAAUUUAUUUUUGUUACCUCCUUUUUGGCUGGUGUUGUUACCUCCACUUUAAUUUCAGCUGGUGUGAAUUUCCCUACAGUAUAAAUUGUUCCAUAUUACAUCACCAGCCCUAGUAUGUAGAUCAAGUCUGAAAUUUUUUACUUUUUAUAGAGUUUAAUUUGAAUUAUCUUUAGAAAAGAAGACAUUAUUUCAUAAGAGACGAUUCCGUCCCUUUGGUCUUUGAAGGAAUACUUAAGCAUUUCAAUUUCUUAGAUAGAUAAUUUCAAGCUUUAAUAUGAAUGUAAGAAAAAUUUCUAGGUUUGGCAAAAUAUAUGUUUUUUCUCAGGUCGUUAAAUUUUGAGAUGGUGUUAAUUGUGUAUUUUUCUGUUUCUUUCUUGUUUACUGUUAUUUUUAAAUAAAACAUCAACUUUAAAAUACAAUGAAUAGCGCUUAUAACUAAUUUGCAGGUUUUUAAUAUAGGGUAGAAAAUUCUAAGCAUGAUAAUUUUAGAUGACCAUUUUCAAUGGUAUCCCCCAAAAUGGAAUACUUCAGCUAAAUUUAAAGGCUCUAAUAUAUACAAAGACAAAAUCUGUUCACCAUAUGUUGGUUCUUCUAACAAAUGAACCCUACAUCAGAUUUCAGUUAUUUGACAUAAUCAUAAACAAAUUUGGAAGCUUUCCUUCAAUUUGAAGAUAAAUUAAUUUCACCAAAGAAUCUGAUCAGAAGGUUGUUCAUGUAUUUUUUUUAUUAUAAAUCUCUAGUUCACUAGAUGGAAAUUCAGAUGAAUAAAAAAAUUGUUGCACCCUCUUUUAAGAGGCAGACAUAGCCUGAGAAAAUAAACAUUAAGUUUGCAUGUUUUGUUAUUUUUACUGUACAUAAGACUCUAUUGGAAAUUGGAACAUUUUAAUAGUAUCUAGUAAUUGUUCAUUUUAUGAAAAGAACUUUCCGAAAAAUAAAUAUUGAUUUUA